rnacentral:rRNA from 1 species
CCUACACAUGCAAGUCGAACGAAGGCUUCGGCCUUAGUGGCGCACGGGUGCGUAACGCGUGGGAAUCUGCCCUUAGGUACGGAAUAACAGUUAGAAAUGACUGCUAAUACCGUAUGAUGACGUAAGUCCAAAGAUUUAUCGCCUAGGGAUGAGCCCGCGUAGGAUUAGCUAGUUGGUGAGGUAAAGGCUCACCAAGGCGACGAUCCUUAGCUGGUCUGAGAGGAUGAUCAGCCACACUGGGACUGAGACACGGCCCAGACUCCUACGGGAGGCAGCAGUGGGGAAUAUUGGACAAUGGGCGAAAGCCUGAUCCAGCAAUGCCGCGUGAGUGAUGAAGGCCUUAGGGUUGUAAAGCUCUUUUACCCGGGAAGAUAAUGACUGUACCGGGAGAAUAAGCCCCGGCUAACUCCGUGCCAGCAGCCGCGGUAAUACGGAGGGGGCUAGCGUUGUUCGGAAUUACUGGGCGUAAAGCGUACGUAGGCGGUUUUGUAAGUUAGAGGUGAAAGCCCGGAGCUCAACUCCGGAAUUGCCUUUAAGACUGCAUCACUUGAACGUCGGAGAGGUGAGUGGAAUUCCGAGUGUAGAGGUGAAAUUCGUAGAUAUUCGGAAGAACACCAGUGGCGAAGGCGGCUCACUGGACGACUGUUGACGCUGAGGUACGAAAGCGUGGGGGAGCAAACAGGAUUAGAUACCCCUGGUAGUCCACGCCCGUAAACGAUGAGAACUAGCUGUCCGGGCACUUGGUGCUUGGGUGGCGCAGCUAACGCAUUAGUUCUCGCUGGGGAGUACGCCGCA